rnacentral:rRNA from 1 species
UACGUAGGGGGCAAGCGUUGUCCGGAAUUAUUGGGCGUAAAGAGCGUGUAGGCGGUCCGGUAAGUCAGCUGUGAAAGUCAAGGGCUCAACCCUUGAAUGCCGGUUGAUACUGUCGGGCUAGAGUCCGGAAGAGGCGAGUGGAAUUCCCGGUGUAGCGGUGAAAUGCGCAGAUAUCUGGAGGAACACCGGUGGCGAAGGCGGCAUCCUGGACCGGUAUUGACGCUGAGGCGCGAAAGCUAGGGGAGCAAACGGG